rnacentral:lncRNA from 1 species
UCGCUGGCUGCAUGAAUUGAGACUUGUUGUUGCAUUGCAGGUGGUCACCUGUGGAAGUGUUCACCUCGAGUCUCCAUUUCAGAAGGUCAACCGUUGCAUCUACACGUCUGCGAGCCUUCACGAGUACAGGGCGUGGCACUCCAAGCCUGCCAACGACAAGCACCAGCGUUUCACCUGGGGACUGCGCCACCUCGAGGUAAGGCUUUUAGCUUACCAGGCAUCGCAUUCUCUCAGCCGGCCUUCCCAAACAGAGACACAUUGUCGACUUCUACAUCUCCGACUUCA